AUAGUCUCCGAUGCAAGUUUAUUUCAAAUACUGGUCAGGCUAAUACAAAGGAGAGGAAGCUGUACUGACCCAUAUUCAUCAUGUGUGGAAGAGCCAGAUGUCUGUGAAGAAAUGUCUUGUGAACAGUCGCCUGUUCGGAUCAGUGAUCCUGAAUUACAUUUUGAUAAUGUGUAUUCGCAGUCAUCACAGACAUCUGAGACUACAUCUUGCUGCUUUGCAUUCCGUGGCAAAUGCAAACCGCAAGCAGGCUGAGACCAGACAGGGGGAAAAAAGAUACAGACUCUCCUAUCCUUAGUACAAGGCUGGACACCAUGUGGUUAAAGCAGUUAAAGAGAAUUGCAC